rnacentral:rRNA from 1 species
CGACCGGCGCACGGGUGAGUAACACGUAUGCAACCUGGCCGCCACAGGGGGAUAACCCGCGGAAACGCGGCCUAAUACCCCGUGACGCCACCGGAGGGCAUCCUCCAGUGGCCAAAGGAGCGAUCCGGUGGCGGAUGGGCAUGCGGCGCAUUAGCUAGACGGCGGGGUGACGGCCCACCGUGGCGACGAUGCGUAGGGGUUCUGAGAGGAAGGCCCCCCACACUGGGACUGAGACACGGCCCAGACUCCUACGGGAGGCAGCAG